GCCUAUAAUUUCCAAACCCAUAACUCCUAGGCCCAUACCCCUAACCUAAUCUCUACCCCUAUAUAAUAGGACCUACACCUAAAUAUACACACGCCUAAAAACCUUACGGAAUCCGCCGUUCAGCAAAAAAGAUCCCAACCCCUGGAUUUUUGUCUUCCUCGCACCCCAUCCCCAAUUCUCUGAAGAACAAAAACCUCUCCUCUUUGCAUAUCAAGAGAUCCCCUCACCCCCUAUAAUUUCCCUUAAGCUUCAACGACGGAGACUUCUGAUCUUCAUCCUCACAUUCUACGAGAAAUCAGCCGCAACACACACACAAAGCCAUCGUUGUCUCCUUCAUUAGAGCAGCUUGAAAACUCUAUCUUCACAGCCAUGUAGAAGCUCCAAGACCUCACCUAAAAUCAGCCCCAAAACUCCAUGAAAACACUAUAAAAAUAAAAAUAAAUACCUAACUCAAAUUCUGCCCAAAACAUCGCACAAAUACUGCAGCUCCAAGGUUGAGUUCGAGUCCGCUGGCGAGUUUAGGUUCGAGCGAGCUUCGGUCUUGGUUCGUGAGUCCCGAACAAGUUUUGUUGAUAUGAUUGAUGUAGAAACUUUGUACUGAUUUGAACAUAGGGAAAUAGAUUGGUUGUUUAUCUCCCCUGUCACAAUUGCUGGUAAAAAGGAGGUGUGACACAGGUGGGCCCCUCAGUAAGGCGAAUGGUGGCCUGUCUGCGGCGGGUGUGCUUGAAAAUGAAGGAGCCUCUCACCUUGGAUCAUAUGUUAAAUCUCUACUCCCCCAAAAUCUUCCGUGGGGGAGUAAUAAAUUUCAGCAAGCGUGACCACCAUGCUUUGCUUACCGGUAUUGAUGAUGACAAUAACCAUAGAUGGAUGGAACGGUUUGUCGUCAUUGCCACCAGGGAUAUCACCUCGGCCACAGCUCCAUCUUUCCCCGAAUCCUGGACUCGUUCACCAACUCGGUGGACACCACCAAGGAUUGAAGGCCUUGAUUGGUGGGUCCAGUAGAUUCUGGACAUCACUAUGCCAGAGACCUGUCGGUAGAAGGAAUUGGCCCCCAAAUACGGGUGGAAGGCCAAGAAUCACGGUAAACAAACUCUCCCUUUACUCCAUCUUUGUACGUGAGUAAAUUUACUAACCUUACCUCCUUGUUUGAUUCAUGUCUCUCGUAUAGUUCUAUUUUUGUCCUUAAGAAGGAUAUUUUGGUCGAUCCUGCAGAGGUUGCGAGGUUGUUGAAGGAGGCUCUCACCCGAACUGGUUCUCUUGGGUUUGCUUCCGAUGCAGGUGCUUCAUCUCAGAGUCCCCGGUCGGAGAACAAGCAACCAAAAAUAUCUUUGGGGUUCUAAGCUCUUCAGAUUGAGCAUUUUGUUGAGCUGAUGAAAAACGUUAUCUCCUUUGUAGGGAAACCCCUUCAUCACUGACUUCCCCAUCAUCGUCAAUAACCACAGUGGUUGCGGUUGGCCGAGGGCAAAAAUAGGAAAGUGAAGAAAUCCAUGCCCAAGCCACCCACAACCACUGUGGUUAUUGACGAUUAUGUAGAAGCUAGUGAUGAAAGGGCUUCCCUACAAAGGAGACAAUGACCUUCAUCAGCCCAACAGAAUGCUCAAUCUGAAGAGAUUAGAACCCCAAACAUAUUUUUGGUUGCUUGUUCUCCGACCGGGGACUCCGAGAUGAAGCACUUACUUCUGGUGCAACUGCUCAUAUAUCUACUACAUUACAGGGAUUCCUUACGAUCCAAACAACAAAUCCAAAUAAGGAUUUCUUGUUCAAGGGAAAGGCUCCAAUUGAAGGUAUAGGGACUUAUCGUUUGAUCAUGGAGACUGGACAUCACCUUGAUCUAUUACAGACUCUUUAUGUACCUUUAUUUUCUAGGAAUUUGAUUUCUCUUUCAAGACUUGAUGUUUCUGGAUUUGAUUUAAAGUUUGGAAAUGGAUGUUUCAAUUUAUAUAAGAAUGCUAUUUUUUAUGGUUCUGGUUUUCUUAGUGAUGAUUUAUAUAAAUUGAAACUCGAUAUUGGUUUUUCUGAAUCCCUUCUUACUGUUCAACAUAAUGUUGGAAUUAAACAUAGUUCACUAGAUGAAAGUUUUGCUUACUUGUGGCAUAGACGUUUGGGUCAUAUAUCCAAAGAAAGGUUAGAAAGAUUAGUAAAGAAUGAGAUUCUUC